rnacentral:rRNA from 1 species
UACGGGGGGUGCGAGCGUUGUCCGGAAUUACUGGGCGUAAAGGGUUUGUAGGUGGCUUGCUAAGUCAGACGUGAAAUCCCUCAGCUUAACUGGGGAACUGCGUCUGAGACUGGCAAGCUUGAGUGCAGGAGAGGAACGCGGAAUUCCAGGUGUAGCGGUGAAAUGCGUAGAUAUCUGGAGGAACACCGGUGGCGAAGGCGGCGUUCUGGACUGUAACUGACACUGAGGAACGAAAGCCAGGGGAGCAAACGGG